GACGGGGGGGGCAAGUGUUCUUCGGAAUGACUGGGCGUAAAGCGCACGUAGGCGGUUCGUUAAGUCGGAUGUGAAAGCCCUCGGCUCAACUGAGGAAGUGCACCCGAAACUGGCGAGCUUGAGUACGAAAGAGGAUCGCGGAAUUCCCGGUGUAGAGGUGAAAUUCGUAGAUAUCGGGAGGAACACCGGUGGCGAAGGCGGCGAUCUGGGUCGAUACUGACGCUGAGGUGCGAAAGCGUGGGGAGCAAACAGG
rnacentral:rRNA from 1 species